rnacentral:rRNA from 1 species
UACGUAGGGUGCGAGCGUUAAUCGGAAUUAUUGGGCGUAAAGGGCGCGUAGGCGGCCUGACAAGUGGAUGGUGAAAUCCCUCGGCUUAACCGAGGAACUGCCAUCCAGACUGUUUGGCUUGAGACCGGGAGAGGUGAGUGGAAUUCCCAGUGUAGCGGUGAAAUGCGUAGAUAUUGGGAGGAACACCAGUGGCGAAGGCGGCUCACUGGACCGGUACUGACGCUGAUGCGCGAAAGCGUGGGGAGCAAACGGG